GGAUGCUUCACGCAGUCAGGUGACAGAGCAGUUCGAGCCCAGAGAAGACAGGGAGCUGAGGAUGCAGGGGGGACCGCCAGAGAAGAGCAGCGGAGCUGGCGAGAGACAAGACAUGGCUGAAAGAAAUCAUCAGAUGUCGCUAGAUGUAAGAGAUUCUUCAGUGCAUGACCUUCCUGCUAGCAUACUGCGUGUCUCCAUACAUCCUGGGAAUAUUCCUAUGUGAAGAAUGAGGCAGUGAGCUGAGUUUACACCUUAAUGUCCUUACUGUGGGGUGAAUAUUCUCUUGGAAUUCGGAAGCCGGAAAAUAAAAAUCAUCAAAGUGUUUCUUCCCACUUCAAUUUGACCAAUAGGAGAACAAAUUUUCAAAUCCACACCCUUUUGUGGUUUGUGUAACUAUUCUACACCCACCAUAAAAUCCUCUGUGCUGUAAGUGAUACCCGCUUACACUUGUGGAAUUCUGGACGACAAACAAUCGCAAGAACGUCAAACUAAAUGGUUAUAUGAUUGAUGAAUGCUUUUACGCUACUCGAAAAUUGAUUACUUUCGCUCAAUUUUACAAAAUUUUUUUACUCCUGUGAGGGUCCAUUCACACGUCCGUAGAAUGGGUCCGCAUAUGUUCCG